UCAGUGUCCCAUCAACCAGCUUUGCAUCGGCCGCCCUGCUCUGCGAUGGCCGUGCCUCGGAUAUUUUCGCGCACCGAACCAAAAAUCGAGCUUUAAUGGCUCCAUCGAAGAAAUUAAAGAACCUGCCGGCUAUGCCAUAUGAG